UACGAAGGGGGCUAGCGUUGUUCGGAAUUACUGGGCGUAAAGCGUGCGCAGGCGGCCAUCCAAGUCAGUGGUGAAAGCCCGGAGCUCAACUCCGGAAUUGCCAUUGAAACUGUUUGGCUCGAGUACGAGAGAGGUGAGUGGAAUUCCCAGUGUAGAGGUGAAAUUCGUAGAUAUUGGGAAGAACACCGGUGGCGAAGGCGGCUCACUGGCCCGAUACUGACGCUGGAGGCACGAAGCGUGGGGAGCAAACAGGAUUGAGAUACCCGUAGGUAGUCCAGAGCCAAUCCCAGUGCCCAUACGUAAUCAC
rnacentral:rRNA from 1 species